UGAAAGAACAUGUCAUCUGCAACUGCUAGGAGAUGAGCAGCUUUCCUCUACCAGCCCCAUCCACCAUGCAUUUCUUCCUUGGAGCCACUGAUUUCAGACUGAAGCUGCUGGAAACUUUGGCACUCACUGCUCUGGAUUCCAGUGAUUCAUUUUUAUGGCUAAAUAAAUGAGGAAGCCAUCUUGUUUUCCACAUCACUGGCUCCAGCAUGCUAUAGAAGAUCACCAUGACAACAGGAGCUGGUUUGCCUGGUGUGAAGACAACAGUGUAGGCCCCAUUUCCUAAAUGCAUGUUUCUACAAAAGUUGAAUCACCAAUUAAAAGACUCUUUUCUAUCCUGGGGGCUUCAGAAAUGCAAAUGGUGUUGGGGAGACAGGCUGGUCAGCUGCUACACCUAGUAACUCCUUCUGAC
ensembl:lncRNA